AUUGAACGCUGGCGGAAUGCUUUACACAUGCAAGUCGAACGGCAGCACGGACUUCGGUCUGGUGGCGAGUGGCGAACGGGUGAGUAACAUAUCGGAACGUAUCCAAUAAUGGGGGAUAACGAGUCGAAAGAUUCGCUAAUACCGCAUACGCCCUACGGGGGAAAGCUGGGGACCUUCGGGCCUGGCGUUAAUGGAGCGGCCGAUAUCUGAUUAGCUAGUUGGUGAGGUAAAGGCUCACCAAGGCGACGAUCAGUAGCUGGUCUGAGAGGACGGCCAGCCACACUGGAACUGUGGCACGGGCCAGACUCCUACGGGAGGCAGCAGUGGGGAAUUUUGGACAAUGGGCGCAAGCCUGAUCCAGCCAUUCCGCGUGAGUGAAGAAGGCCUUCGGGUUGUAAAGCUCUUUCGCAAGGGAAGAAAACUUAGCCACUAACAUUGGUUGAGGUUGACGGUACCUUGAUAAGAAGCACCGGCUAACUACGUGCCAGCAGCCGCCGUAA
rnacentral:rRNA from 1 species